ACUCCUACGGGAGGCAGCAGUGGGGAAUUUUGGACAAUGGGCGAAAGCCUGAUCCAGCAAUGCCGCGUGUGUGAAGAAGGCCUUCGGGUUGUAAAGCACUUUUGUCCGGAAAGAAAUCCUUGGCUCUAAUACAGUCGGGGGAUGACGGUACCGGAAGAAUAAGCACCGGCUAACUACGUGCCAGCAGCCGCGGUAAUACGUAGGGUGCGAGCGUUAAUCGGAAUUACUGGGCGUAAAGCGUGCGCAGGCGGUUUGCUAAGACCGAUGUGAAAUCCCCGGGCUCAACCUGGGAACUGCAUUGGUGACUGGCAGGCUAGAGUAUGGCAGAGGGGGGUAGAAUUCCACGUGUAGCAGUGAAAUGCGUAGAGAUGUGGAGGAAUACCGAUGGCGAAGGCAGCCCCCUGGGCCAAUACUGACGCUCAUGCACGAAAGCGUGGGGAGCAAACAGGAUUAGAAACCCUAGUAGUCCCA
rnacentral:rRNA from 1 species